rfam:Spirosoma sp. 48-14 SCNpilot_cont_300_bf_scaffold_232, whole genome shotgun sequence.
GAUUUAUAAAGAAGCGGGGAGAGAUCAGGCUCUGUGAACCGCUGGCAACCUACCACAUGGCAAGGUGCUAACUCCUGCCUAAAGUUAUUUAGGGACUAUAAAUC